CACGUAGGGGCCAAGCGUUGUUCGGAUUCAUUGGGCGUAAAGGGUGCGUAGGCGGCGCGGUAAGUCGGGUGUGAAAUCUUGGAGCUUAACUCCGAAACUGCAUUCGAUACUGCCGUGCUUGAGGACUGGAGAGGAGACUGGAAUUUACGGUGUAGCGGUGAGAUGCGUAGAUAUCGUAAGGAAGACCAGUGGCGAAGGCGGGUCUCUGGACAGUUCCUGACGCUGAGGCACGAAGGCCAGGGGAGCAAACGGG
rnacentral:rRNA from 1 species